CUUGCACACCUAUAAGAGGUCCAGCCUGCCCAGUGACUCUGUUCAACGGCCGCGGUAUCCUAACCGUGCGAAGGUAGCGUAAUCACUUGUUCUUUAAAUGAGGACUAGUAUGAAUGGCACCACGAAGGUUAUACUGUCUCCUCUAUCUAAUCAGUGAAACUAAUCUCCCCGUGAAGAAGCGGGGAUAAUUAUAUAAGACGAGAAGACCCUAUGGAGCUUUAAACCAAGAAUCAUCUGCUUUACCCUCCUUCAAAUUUCAGAAGACUAACUUUUACCAAAGCACUCUGAUCUCUAGUUUUAGGUUGGGGUGACCACGGAGUAAAAACCAACCUCCGCAAUGAACCAGGAUCUUUCCUUAACCAAGGGCCACAGCCCUAAGAAUCAACACAUUGACAUCAAUUGACCCAAAAAUUUGAUCAAUGAAC
rnacentral:rRNA from 1 species